UACGUAGGGACCUAGCGUUGUCCGGAAUCAUUGGGCGUAAAGCGCGCGUAGGCGGCCCGGUAAGUCCGUUGUAAAAGUCGAAGGCUCAACCUUCGAAAGCCGGUGGAUACUGCCGGGCUAGAGUCCGGAAGAGGCGAGUAGAAUUCCUGGUGUAGCGGUGGAAUGCGCAGAUAUCAGGAGGAAUACCCCUAGCGAAGGCAGCUCGCUGGGACGGUACUGACGCUGAGGCGCGAAAGCGUGGGGAGCGAACAGG
rnacentral:rRNA from 1 species